UACAGAGGUCCCAAGCGUUGUUCGGAUUCAUUGGGCGUAAAGGGUGCGUAGGCGGCGCGGUAAGUCGGGUGUGAAAUCUCGGAGCUUAACUCCGAAACUGCAUUCGAUACUGCCGUGCUUGAGGACUGGAGAGGAGACUGGAAUUUACGGUGUAGCGGUGAAAUGCGUAGAUAUCGUAAGGAAGACCAGUGGCGAAGGCGGGUCUCUGGACAGUUCCUGACGCUGAGGCACGAAGGUGCAGGGGAGCAAACGGG
rnacentral:rRNA from 1 species